rnacentral:rRNA from 1 species
UACAGAGGGUGCAAGCGUUAAUCGGAAUUACUGGGCGUAAAGCGCGCGUAGGUGGUUCGUUAAGUUGGAUGUGAAAUCCCCGGGCUCAACCUGGGAACUGCAUUCAAAACUGUCGAGCUAGAGUAUGGUAGAGGGUGGUGGAAUUUCCUGUGUAGCGGUGAAAUGCGUAGGUAUAGGAAGGAACACCAGUGGCGAAGGCGACCACCUGGACUGAUACUGACACUGAGGCGCGAAAGCGUGGGGAGCAAACAGG